rnacentral:rRNA from 1 species
UUUCCGUAGGUGAACCUGCGGAAGGAUCAUUGUCGAAACCUGCAAAAGCAGACCGCGAACACGUAAAACCACCGGGGAUCGGUCCGCGGCGGCAACCUCGCGUCCGGUCUCCCUCCCGAGCGCGUCGCCCCUCGGGCUAACGAACCCCGGCGCGGAACGCGCCAAGGAAUACUCACAGAAACGUCCUCCCCCGUCGCCCCGUCUCGGUGCGCCGCGGGGGGCGUCUCUAAAAGUCUAAACGACUCUCGGCAACGGAUAUCUCGGCUCUCGCAUCGAUGAAGAACGUAGCGAAAUGCGAUACUUGGUGUGAAUUGCAGAAUCCCGUGAACCAUCGAGUCUUUGAACGCAAGUUGCGCCCGAGGCCUUCUGGCCGAGGGCACGUCUGCCUGGGCGUCACGCAUCGCGUCGCAUCCCCGCUCUCCUCGGACAUUGGUCCCCCGUGCGCGUCCGCGCGCGGUCGGCCUAAACGCGAACCCGCGGCGACUCGCGUCGCGACAAGUGGUGGUUGAUCACUCAACUCUCGUGCUGUCGCGGCGAACCUCGCUAGUCGGGCACAAGCAGCCCAAGGCUCGAGCACCUCGAGCUUUCGAACGCGACCCCAGGUCAGGCGGGAUUACCCGCUGAGUUUAA